rnacentral:lncRNA from 1 species
CUGGGCUGGAGUGCAGUGGCGCAGUCUCUGCUCACUGCAACCUCCACCUCCUGGGUUCAAGCGAUUCUCCUGCCUCAGCCUCCCAAGUAGCUGGGAUUACAGGCACCUGCCACCACACCUAGCUAAUUUUUUGUAUUUUUAGUAGAGACAGGGUUUCACUAUGUUGGCCAGGCUGGUCUCAAACUCCUGACCUCGUGAUCUGCCCGCUUCGGCCUCCCAAAGUGCUGGGAUUACAGGCAUAAGCCACCGCGCCCGGCCCCCCAAAGUCUUAUGUUUUAAACUUUUUGACAUUUCUUCUAAGAUGUCCAGAAUGCUAGUACCUGCACCUUAAUAAAUGUUUGUGAAUAAAUACAUUAUUGAAAUCUUAGGCAGGUGUGCCACAUAGCUUAAAUCUGAGACACUGUGUUCUUCAGUCAGAUCAUGCAUAUUCUUAGAAUAGUAACCUCAAAGGUUUAUACCCUUGCUACCUUUUUUAUGUUUUUUGUAGAGACAGGAUCUUGCUCUGUUUCUCAGACUUUUUGAACUCCUGGGCUUAAGCAGGCCUCCCACCUUGGCUUCCUAAAGUGCUGGGAUUACAGAUAUGAGCCACUGCGCCCAGUCGACACUGUGGCUCAUUUUAAUUCUCACGUAGUAUUUAGUUUCAUUUUGCAGUUUGAAGAAAUAGGCCCAGAGAUGUUAAAGGGGCAGGCCCAGAACUUGAAUCCAGAUCUUGUGGUGAGAAAUUCUUGUUUUACUAUCACGUUGCUUUUUAAAGCCAGCCUGCUUUUUCCAGUUGGGAGGCCUCGGGGAGAAAAGUCUGACCCAAGUGAGAAACACCUGUAAUAUCUACCAGAUGCCAGCAGGGUGUCCCAUGGUGCUGUCUUUGAUCCAUGUUCUUACCCUGUGUGCUGAGGGUUCUAGAGUAGGACUACAUCUAGUCACAGUGGCCAUGUUCCAGAGCCUGGCAGCAAGAAAGAGGGAUGCCUAGCUCCUUGGCUUUCCAGUGUGCAGUGCACAGCCAGCUCUCUCAGAGAAGCCCUGGCCCUCUUUUGACCCCUACUAUUGAGGCUGGCCCCACAGGAGGACAGCUGGUCACACAGUGGCUGGGGCCUGGCUAGCCACUCAAUGACUACACAGCAGCCCCACAAAAAAAUCAUAGAAAAGAACCUGUGAAAGGGUAAAUGUUUAAAACAUCUGCAUUUGUGUUGAUAGCUGAGUAUACACUUAAAUUUUUAUUAGUAACAGAUCCACAAAAAUGACCCACUCUAGGAAUUUUAAGUUUUAAAAGCCAAUGUGUGGUAACUUCCAGUUUCCAAUAAAAAUGUUUGCAUUACACUUAGCCUACAUAUACUAUCUCUUAGGUAUCAGUUUUUGUAUUCAGCAACCCUAGUUGGUAAUCUACAGUGUCAAAACUAUCACUUAUGUGAAAACAAAUGAGCAAAUAGCCCUUUAAAAAUUUCCUUUCCCAGUGCUCGUUACGCACUUUAUACAAAUGUCUGUAACUGUUUUAUAAUUAUUUCUUUGCAAGGCUUGGUUUCUUCAGUAGAGAAGAUUCUUAGAAGUAUCCCCAGUGACAGUACAGCUCCUGGCAUUUAGUAGGUGCUCAGUAAUUAUUUUACUGAAAUACUCAUACUUCCAUAAUAGUUCUGGGACAAUUCUAAACACAAGCCAUUUUUCUAAGGAGAGUCCACAUUAGAGAGGUCUUUGUUUUGUAUUCAAGAUGAUUAAAAUUAAUUAUGAACUGGGAAGUUAGUCCCUGGGGUGUCCUGGCUGGCCUUUGGAAAUCUUCACUACAUCUUUCUGGGUUGGAAUUCUCACCACAGCCUGAACGUGGGGCUGUAUCUGAGCUGUCUCUGAGUGCUGUCCAUUUGAUAUAUCGAGUACUGGGUGUUUACCAGGGCUCUUCAAGCCACUGGGAGAAACAGCUAAAGAGUAACCUACUGAUUUGAGAUGUGGAUUUGUGCCGCAUCCCUUUCUCCUUGUUUCCCACAGGAGUUUUAUCUCAAACUCCUAAGCCAUUUUUAAGGAGAUCACUGGAACAAACUCCAAACCUACCCUCUAAUAGUCAAGUUUACCUGAAUUUUCUCAGUUCUCUCGCGAGAAGACUAAUCACACAUUGUAGUACCAACUUGGACUCUUCAUGUGCUUUUCUUAACUGAUUAGAGUAACACCUCAGCUAAAGUGUAUAGAACAUACAUGGGGCUUCAUCAGGCUUCAGAAUCAGUUUCACUAGAUGUGCUAUGUAGGAGGCCACGGAAAAAUUACCGUAGUAGUAAAAGUUAUCAGUUCUGAUGUAAACAAUCAUUUUGUCCCAUAUUAUAAAUAAAUUGGCCUGAAAAUAUCCUUUCAUAUGUGAGGAAUAAGUAUAUGAUGCCUUUCUCCUUUAAAGUAUGAACUGCUAAAAGACAGGGAUAACGUGUAUUCUGUAUUCCAGCAGCCACAGUGUGUUUCUGGUCUUUGUACCAGGUGCUCAGGAAGUGUUUUCACUGGCUUGGGUUGACUACUUGCCAUCUGCUCUCUGAGCAUUCAUUUCUGAAUGAAAGGGGAGAAAGUGAAAGGAGAGGUGGGAAGAAAGAGGAAGCUGCAGAAAUAAGAGGAAACAGCUGGAGGAGGGAGGUGAAGUUGAGGAGGAAUUCUGGUCUUCCCUCAGGCCUAGCAGAGAGCUUUCUGCCACUACUCAGGCAACCAAGGGUGAAGUGCUUCAAGUAGUAUUUGUGGACAGCAGCAGAAUGGAGGGACCCUCAGUUGAAGAUCAAAUUGACUCUGAAGAAAAACUGGAGAUGUUUCUCUUGGAGUUUGGAUAGAGUAUUCACUUGAUAACAUGUUUUUCCCCUGCCUUGCUCUUCACAAGAACAUCUGGCCAGGUAUUAACAAUUAGUAAAUUUUUUUGCAUAUGAACAGUAUUUUUCUGGUGAUGUAGAUGGGUGCACAUGACACUAAACAGCAUUGUUUAGUGUUAUCCCUCUUAACUGGUGGGUUGUAUUUGGGGUGGAGGCUAUAGCCAAUGAGAAGACAUUCACCUCUGUACUCGAGAAACUUUGUGUAGGAAUUUAGUUUAUUUUUUAAUUUUUUUUAAUUUUUUAUUUUUUACUACUUUUACUGUUAGCACAAUGCUAUAAUUGAGCUAAUCUUUGUAGUUUGGUGCAGGACCACCAAGUUUGUGUGACCCAUUACCUACUUUUUCCAUGCUCAGCCAUUACCCUGUCCUGGGGCAUCUGAGGGCAGUAAGGAACAGGUGUCCAAAGGAGGAAUGUUGGUGCCUAUGAGUAUGUUUUCCAGUUGUAUUGAAUUUCUUACUUGGUGUAUUUUUGACUUGUCUUAGUUUCUUUCCUUGUGGUCUAUGCUAUUUUACUUGCGAUUUGUUGGAUAUUCUCCCUGUCAUUAAAGAGUUGUAAAAUGGAAGUUAGUUUCUCUAUGCAAAUGCUUUAAUGGAUGAAGCUGAUAGGUUUAGCAUUGAUUUUUGCUGGUGUCUUUCAACAAGCAUGAAGGUGAUAAAUGUGUUUCCAUGGCUUUAGACUCAUUUUUGAAGUCUUGGAUUGUGUGAACAUUCUUAGAAACAAUAAAAUGUUUUAAUUAAAAGCCCUCGACUACCAGUUGAAUUCAGUGUCUACUAGGAAAAUGGGUAGAUUUAUUACAUUGUCCCUUUGCUCUCUAUGACUUUGUUCCAGUUGUCAAGGAACUUAAAUGGGUAUUCAGGAAAAAGAAUUCUUGUUUCCCUUUCCUCACCUUGCCAGUUAAAUAACUCCUGGUGACACUUCAGGUGGUAGAAUUGAAACACAAACCUGACUUCUGACCACAUGGGUCAAAGGCAAAAGGCAAAUGGCUUCAAAGCCCUUAGUGUGCUUAUCCAGUUCAGGCAGUGAGGAGAUAACCUCUGCUUUCCUCCCUGAGGAGUUUGGAGUAUUUAAGGGGGGAUGGGGGGGGUGUCACUUUGAAAAUAUGUUGCUUUUUCUCCUGAUUGUAUUGAGGCUGAUAUGGAAGGGUUAUUUCUUUCUGGCCAAUACUUUUUGGUAUUUCUAAAUAUUGCAAUCUUGAUUUUUACUAUUAAAUUUGUUAAUUGUCAGUUCUGGCUUUUUUGCAUAAAGAGUUGGUCCAUUAACUUGCCAAUUUGAAGCUUCUAACUAGAUAUUCCCUACUGAAAGUUUUGGAUUUGUUUUUAGUUUGUGGAGCAGUCUUAGCUGGGGACAGGUAAUUGACAACGGCAGAGAUACUUUUCCUAGGAUUCUAAGUCUGUAAUCCACAUCCUCAAUGUAUUCACAGGACUUUAAAAUUCUCUCCAAAUGAGGAAGGAAAUAUCCUGUUGCUUUCUAAUGUUUACUAAAAGUUGUGUUUAGAACAACAGAUUUUAAUAGGCAUCUUCCUUUGUUAUGUGUCAUAGCCCUUUGCCCGUUUACCUUAGGGCUCUUUGAAGGAGAAAUGGAUGGGAGAAAACCUGUCACUUGGCGAAAGUAAAAGGGAUAAUUAACUGGCUCAGAGCUUAUGUGCAGAGUUCCAAGCCCCAAAGUUAAUCUAGAACUACUCGAUAACACCAAUAAAAAUAUUUAUUUCACAUCUGUUAUAUAUCUGGAAAAUGUUCUAAGCAUCUUACAUAUAUUUUUCAUUAAAUCCACAGGUGACCAUUGUGAGGUAGAUAUUUUGUUCUAAUUUUCCAGAUGAGGAAGCUGAGACCCUAAAAGGCUGACCGGUUCCCUGAUGUGUUACCUGCUUCUGCUACUGAUCCAAACUGCAGAACUUCUCAUUCAUCCCCAAGGCCUCCAGGCAGUAUCCAAUGGGGAAUCAGCUCUAAAAGGAACCAGACCAACGUUUUCCAGCCCCUUCAUUCUGGUGACUGAGGGGAGGAAAGAAUGGGAGGGGGUAUUCUUGUCUAGUGGAUGGAAAG